UGGGGAAUAUUGCACAAUGGGCGCAAGCCUGAUGCAGCCAUGCCGCGUGUAUGAAGAAGGCCUUCGGGUUGUAAAGUACUUUCAGCGGGGAGGAAGGUGUUGUGGUUAAUAACCACAGCAAUUGACGUUACCCGCAGAAGAAGCACCGGCUAACUCCGUACCAGCAGCCGCGGUAAUACGGAGGGUGCAAGCGUUAAUCGGAAUUACUGGGCGUAAAGCGCACGCAGGCGGUCUGUCAAGUCGGAUGUGAAAUCCCCGGGCUCAACCUGGGAACUGCAUCCGAAACUGGCAGGCUUGAGUCUUGUAGAGGGGGGUAGAAUUCCAGGUGUAGCGGUGAAAUGCGUAGAGAUCUGGAGGAAUACCGGUGGCGAAGGCGGCCCCCUGGACAAAGACUGACGCUCAGGUGCGAAAGCGUGGGGAGCAAACA
rnacentral:rRNA from 1 species